GGGGAAUUAGCUCAGCUGGCUAGAGCGUCCCGAGCUUGCCUCGGGAAGGUCACCGGUUCGACCCCGGUAUUUUCACA
rnacentral:tRNA from 1 species